rnacentral:rRNA from 1 species
UACGAAGGGGGCUAGCGUUGCUCGGAAUCACUGGGCGUAAAGCGCACGUAGGCGGCUUGUUAAGUCAGGGGUGAAAUCCUGGAGCUCAACUCCAGAACUGCCUUUGAUACUGGCGAGCUUGAGUUCGGGAGAGGUGAGUGGAACUGCGAGUGUAGAGGUGGAAUUCGUAGAUAUUCGCAAGAACACCAGUGGCGAAGGCGGCUCACUGGCCCGAUACUGACGCUGAGGUGCGAAAGCGUGGGGAGCAAACAGG